rnacentral:rRNA from 1 species
GCGAAAGCGAGUCCGAACAGGGCGUCCAGUCGCUGGGUGUAGACCCGAAACCAGGUGAUCUAUCCAUGGCCAGGCUGAAGGUGCGGUAACACGUACUGGAGGGCCGAACCCACUGACGUUGAAAAGUCAGGGGAUGAGCUGUGGAUAGGGGUGAAAGGCUAAACAAACCUGGAAAUAGCUGGUUCUCUCCGAAAACUAUUUAGGUAGUGCCUCGUGUAUCACCUUCGGGGGUAGAGCACUGUCAUGGUUGAGGGGUCCAUUGCGGAUUACCUCGCCAUAGCAAACUCCGAAUACCGAAGAGUGCAAUCACGGGAGACAGACAUCGGGUGCUAACGUCCGGUGUCAAGAGGGAAACAACCCAGACCGCCAGCUAAGGUCCCCAAACAUGGCUAAGUGGGAAACGAAGUGGGAAGGCUAAAACAGUCAGGAGGUUGGCUUAGAAGCAGCCACCCUUUAAAGAAAGCGUAAUAGCUCACUGAUCGAGUCGUCCUGCGCGGAAGAUGUAACGGGGCUAAGCCAUGUACCGAAGCUGCGGAUGCGUG